ACAUUUUCGUGUGACAUUUCUCUCAACGAUGAUCAAUGGCAGCAAUGGCAGACAAUGGCGCAUGUAUAGUAUAUUAGACGCACCUGUGUCGAAGUGUCAAAGGAAUCUCGUGUAUGCUAUAUCUAUAUCGUGUUUCGCAUCCGGGACCUGUCGCGCAAUGCCCUCGUAGAAAGGGAGAGUAGCUUCGACGAUUCGAGGAGGCACGAGAGAGGACGGAUCCACGCUACUCGAUCAUUCACGGAUGUUUAUGACUGGCAUGUUAAAUGGAAAUGAACGUGGAAGUGACGGAGAUGACAUCGUCCAGAGAGGCUGACACCGGCCUCACUGCGGCUGAUUCAUCGGUAGGCUCCGGCGACGUUGAUAUAAGAAAUGACAACGAGGAAUCGACGAGCGACGAGCCUCAUGCUCGCGCUCCUUGCAACGGCAAAAACGCAGAGGGAGAAAAACGCGAGGGCAUCGCCGCGAAUUCGUCGCGAGCGACUCCGAUCGCGGAUUGCGAGGUCGAAUCGUCAAGGGUAUCUCAGACUCCGUUAGCCUUCACCAUCGAUUUUGGUAACAACAAAGAAGUGGACACAGCCAAGUAUCUGAAUUUAUUCGAGAGAUACAACGCGAGGCACAAACGGAAUCUCUCUACGUCCAAGGUAGAAGUAAAAUCAAAGAAGCCGAGCACUAUACUUUCUCCAAAUUUGGGGCAAAAGCAGAAAGUUUCUAGCACUCAUUCAGAAGGUUAUUUUAGUAGCGAGGAUGAUACGAAGCGAAAAACUGACCAAUUAUCAGAAAGAUUUAAACAAUUAGGUGUGAAGAAUUCCUCGAGAGCACAUUCUAGCACAAAGACCUGUGGUAAUGAAAAUGUAAAUCAUCAGAAUAAGCAAUAUUUAAUGACGAAAUCCAGCGAUAGUGAAGUACGACGCAAUAAAUGGUCACCUCAAAGUCUCUCUUUGGAACUCGAGUCCAACAAGAACCAAUAUUGGACAACUCAGAGAUCCGCAACGAUAAAUGAUUUAAGUCGCGUUCAAAUUAGUAAUUACGACCACGAUGAAAACGAGAAGCAGUACACGAAAAAUAUUGAGUUCAUCGCUAAUGAGUGCGAGGAUGAUUUCGAAGAUAAUAAAAUAUCUAAUAUGAAUUAUAUCACAGAUGAUUUUAAUAUAAGAAACACAAACGAGAGAGAGAGCGCUUUAUCGAGCGUCAGUUACGCGAUGAAUCUGAACGCGGAUAAUAUAACAGAUACCAAUUUGGAGGUAUUCAAUGUUAGCAAUGUCGAUACCACUUCCGACGGUGCGGUGAGCGAGACUGGGACGUACACGAUUCAUAAAGAUUAUACUGAUGAAGAAAAAGCGAGAAUGGAUAUCGACAAAGUUUUCAGUGUCGGUGUUUUAACGGAAGACGAAAGCAACGAGGCGUAUGUUCACAAUUUCAAGAUGAGUAUUUCUCGUGAUAAUAAUACCUGGAUAUCGGAAUGGGCCACUCAAGUAGCAGAGCACAAUUCACUACCUCCGAUAAUAGGCGGUUCAACAGGUCGUACGCCGCCUUUAAGUCCCACCAAGAUACCAUCCCCGAUUCAUGCUAGAUCUCAAAGAGGAUUACGUAAUCGUUAUGAACAAUCCGAUAAUAACGUGGAUACCGAUUCGUAUAUACGAAUAAAAGAAAGGAUUGGUUUAGUUUCAAGUCAACAUCAAAUUAUUGACUCCGGUGGUGAAUCCGAUGACGAUACCAGCAAUAGUUACAAUACGCCACCCAACAGUUCACAGCGUACACCUGUACAUAAUGCUGUAGGUAGACGCGGUAGCUUGUCCGAUUCGUUGUUUCGGCGAACAAAUAACAACGAAAAUAGACGCAGCGUUCGAAAAUACUUAAGUUCAACCAAAUCGAAGACUGCUGAUACUAAUGUAGAAUUAUCGAACAGCCCGUCCCAAGUCUCGUCGACUCUUCGUUUAGAGAGAAGCAACUCUUUAGAUAGAAAAGAAUAUGCUUCUGAUACAACGGAAUCUAAUACGUCCAGAAAGAAUAGUAUGAAAUAUAAGGAAGACGAUUUUAAGCACACAAAUAGUCCUGUCUUAAGCCGUCUCAAACCACCUAUGUCAAAACUGACCAAUAGUCCAAUUGUGAGUCGUAAGGUUGCUGCAACGAAAGUCCUUAAUUCUCCCCUUUUAGAGAGAUCUAAGCACUUAACAAAGUCAUCAGAAUCGAAAAAUAUAGGAUAUUUUACAUGUGUUGAAAAUAGUCCAUAUAUGCUGAGAAAAUCCAACAGCACUACAAAUUACCAUGAAAGAAUCAGUUAUUUUGAUAAAGACAUAUCUAUUAAAACAUCUAAUAUGUUACAAAACAGUCCAGAACUUCAACGGCAUCUUAAUAUACAUAGAUCAUCGAGUAACGCGAGUAUUAGAAAUAUAAGGUCACAGAAUUUUAUAUCGCGUCGCAGCAGUUUCAAUAGUAAUGACAUUGACAGAAUAUCAUCAAGAGGAAAAUUUGCUGUUGCCUCGGAUAGUAGUAGCGAAACUGGUGAACAACAAAGAAAAUCUCCUUUAACACCAAUUUCAUCUGGAAUCAAAUUAAAUAGAGCUUUCAGCAUAAGAAGAGCAAGAUUAAAUUGUGAAUCCGAUACAACACCGAAUACAACCCCCGAAGAAAGACGUAGAAGAGCACAGUCGGAAGUAAAAACUGCAGCGUCUGUGAAUAAGCAACAGAGUUAUCAUCGUAGUCGCACAAGCAGCGUUGGAGCGCACAAUAAAGAAUCAUCGAAAAAAGCAGAACCAACGAAAUUCAGAACACCAUCUAUGUCUAGGACUGAUACCGGAAGAUUUAGUAUGAGAGCCCCGAAGCCUACUCAUCAUCUUCCCAAUAGCCAAAAAACGAAUCAAAAGCCAAGUAAAGAUCACAAAAAAUCUGGUAGAAGCAAUUCCACUCUCACAUCCAAAGAAGUAGAGUUUCAGAAUUGGAAGAGACGGAAAAGUUACGAUCCAAUGAAAGCAGCAGCUGAAGGGAGAAAAAAGCUAAUGGACAAUACGAAGAAACAUCACAGUACCGAGGACGGUUCUGGCAACCAUGACAAUUCCGUACUGAGAUCUGCAAGUUUUCAUGGUACAGGAGGUGCUCUCUCGUUAGCGAACGACUGGUCGGAUAAUGAAUUAGAUUAUGAGGAUAAUCAAGUACCACCGCCUAGCAGUCCACAGCUUGGAGAAAGCGAUAGUGAUUUGGAAACCUCAUCUUACUUGCAAACCACUCAGAACGUAGUAUCCGCCAUGUCGGCUCGCAUGACAGGAUAUCGUCCUCCGCUGGAAUCUGAUAACGAGAGCGACGAAGACACGAGUCAUAGCCUUCGUCAGAAUAUAUUGAAAGGAAUGCGCCAUCCGAGCGACACCGAGAGCAGCGAUGAAGGACACGCUAUGGCACAAUCUCCUAUCUCUAGUACUAAAUAUAAUAAAGAAUUUAGUUUGUGUAAUAGAAUAAAAUUAGAUCCGCAACGAAUAAAACCUGUGUCUUCCAAUGUGAGCAGAGCUAAAAAUUUAUCGCAUGACACUCGUAGCAAAUCUGAGUCCUUUUCUAAUGUUGCUAGAACAGAAUCUGGGCGAUCUAACGCGCGAAUUAGUAGAACUUUGAGCAUGGUGCCUAAAAGUAAACCAAAAGAACCAAAAAAGCCUCCCAUGCCAAAUGUACGAGAGGUCGAAAUGCAAAAUUGGAAACGUCGCAAGAGCUACGAUCCUAUGAAAGCGGCGAUGGAAGGACGGAGAAAAGCGGGUUUGGCAAAGAAAACUAUUAAUACAAAUCUAUCACCGAGGACCAAUAGCGCUUGAUAAUCUAGAAAUAAUAUGGCAAAAUAAACAAGUGGUUUGUAGCAUAAAAUUAUUUGAAUAUUUUAUGCUAUAUAUUCUUUCAAGAGUCAUGUAGCGAGAUCGCAAAGUUUUCAUGGAUCGGUAGGAUUAGUAAUCAGCGACUGGAGUGAUGAGGAACCAGUCAUAUCUGCAGACGAAGCCUCCCUCUAUUAGGAUCUUCUCAGAAUUAUUGUGGGUAAACAAGAAACAAGCAAGUAGUGAAAGUAAUAUAAAACCAAUUACAAAAAUUCUUGUAUAUAAAUCGCAAGAAUGAAUGAAUUUUACAGAAUGUUAUAUAUAAGAAAAUGAGUUAUAACUAAAUCUAUAUAUCUAAAUCUAUCUCUGAAACGAUUUUAAUGAGAUAGCAAGUAUAGCUCUACUCAUAAAAUCUUCUUUAUAAUAUAAAUUUUGCGCAUUGAAUCUCGCAUGUUUGUAAAAAUUUCUGGGUUAGAAAAAAUUGUGCUUCCCUUCCAAAGGUGAUACUUAAAAAUUAUAUGUCCAGAAUUUGCUAUAUUAAUGUUAGAACGUCCAAUUACUUGUAUUUAUUUAAUUUGUAAGGAAGAAGACGUUCUUUUUUUCUUAAUUUAUAUUUUUCAUUAUAUAUAAAUAUGCAAAAUAUUGCCUAAAUGUAGUUAAAAAAUGUUUUUUAUGGAUAAUAAUAUUGAAAGGGGAGAAGAAAGAAUUAAAUAUAUAAAGGAAAAUCUCGCACACAAGAUAUCCUAAUUAAGUGCGAAAAUGUGCAACAAUAUAUAUGAUAUCUAAUUUAUAUAGAGAAUACUAAAAGUAUAUAGAGAAAUAUAUGUGUGUCAUUGGUUUAAUUAUGAUUGGACCAAUCAUGUAGCGUUUAUGUACAAAUAUUUGUAUUUGUAUCGCAUCUUGUUCCAUCGAUGCAGCCAAUUUAUCUAACUAUAAGAUAUAUACAUGUCCUCGCAUUACUUGAAUAAUAAUAUAAUCUAGGAAGAAUUUUUUUUCAUUAAAAGCAAAAAUAGAGCAAAAUCUGAGAAAAAUCUUCACAAAUUUGUAAAUCUUUGUUGUCUUAUUAGAUAAUCGAAUGACGUACAUUAUAUUAUUUGUAAUUGUGAAUAUAAACUCACAUUGGUGCUCGCAAUUUAUCUUUGUUAGAAUAAUUAUUGAUAUAGAAAAAAACGUGCUACAUCCUACUUCAAAGCGCGCAAAAUGAAUUAAAAUUUUUUCUCUAUGAUAAUUUAAUGUGAUUAUAAAGAGCUUUACAGUAAUCUUAAUCAUUAAGAUAUAUAUAUAUCAAUAUUGAUCAGUUUAAUUGUAUAUUUUUUCUUUCAAUUUUAUGUGAAAACUAAAGAAUUUUUUUAUGAUUUGAUUCUAAAUAGAAUUAUCUAUAACAUACUCGAGCAGUUAAUAUUACAUGACACAUUGAUAUAACAUAAAACAUAUUUUAUACAUAAAUACUUGUUCAGCAGAUUGUCAUUUAUAACUUGUUUAUCAUAUAUAUGCUUGUUAUUCUCAUAUAAAUUUGAUGAAAAUUUUAUUUGAAUUUUCUAGAGAAUUUUGCAAAACUUACUCAAAUUUGUUGUGUAUACUGCAAGCAUUAUGAUAGAGUUAUAUAUUAAUGCGCUCUUUAUUGCAUAAUUCUUAAAAUAAUAUUCCAUUAUCUUCGAGCAACUUUUCAUUGUUGUUAAUAAUCAUAUUUCAGUAUUAAAAAACUGAAAGUUUAGAUUCAGAUAUUGAUUUAAAUUUUUUUGUCGAUACAAUUUAGUUUAUUAAUUUACAUUUCUCAACAUGUAGAAUUAUGCAAUAAAGAUUACAGAAGAAUGUGAUAUUAUGACAGGAUUAAAUAGCUUCUGAAUUGAACAGGAUAAUAAUAUAAAUUUGUUUGUUAGAAAUUAUUAAGUAUAAAUGAUAUCUCUGUAUUUAAGUCUAUGUAUAUAUGCUUUUGAUUCUAGAAAAUUCAUUCUAUAUUAUAUAAAAUUUGUUAAUACUAUUACAAAUUAUAUAAAAAUGUAAUGCGUUUCUAUAUUAAAAUGCUAAUUUGUUUUUAA